rnacentral:rRNA from 1 species
AGUGAACGCUGGCGGUAGGCCUAACACAUGCAAGUCGAACGGCAGCACAGUAAGAGCUUGCUCUUACGGGUGGCGAGUGGCGGACGGGUGAGGAAUACAUCGGAAUCUACUUUUUCGUGGGGGAUAACGUAGGGAAACUUACGCUAAUACCGCAUACGACCUACGGGUGAAAGCAGGGGAUCUUCGGACCUUGCGCGAUUGAAUGAGCCGAUGUCGGAUUAGCUAGUUGGCGGGGUAAAGGCCCACCAAGGCGACGAUCCGUAGCUGGUCUGAGAGGAUGAUCAGCCACACUGGAACUGAGACACGGUCCAGACUCCUACGGGAGGCAGCAGCGGGGAAUAUUGGACAAUGGGCGCAAGCGUGAUCCAGCCAUACCGCGUGGGUGAAGAAGGCCUUCGGGUUGUAAAGCCCUUUUGUUGGGAAAGAAAAGCAGCAGGUUAAUACCCCGCUGUUCUGACGGUACCCAAAGAAUAAGCACCGGCUAACUUCGUG